GACGAACCCUGGCGGCGUGCUUAACACAUGCAAGUCGAACGGAAAGGCCCUGCUUUUGUGGGGUGCUCGAGUGGCGAACGGGUGAGUAACACGUGAGUAACCUGCCCUUGACUUUGGGAUAACUUCAGGAAACUGGGGCUAAUACCGGAUAGGAGCUCCUGCUGCAUGGUGGGGGUUGGAAAGUUUCGGCGGUUGGGGAUGGACUCGCGGCUUAUCAGCUUGUUGGUGGGGUAGUGGCUUACCAAGGCUUUGACGGGUAGCCGGCCUGAGAGGGUGACCGGCCACAUUGGGACUGAGAUACGGCCCAGACUCCUACGGGAGGCAGCAGUGGGGAAUAUUGCACAAUGGGCGGAAGCCUGAUGCAGCAACGCCGCGUGCGGGAUGACGGCCUUCGGGUUGUAAACCGCUUUCGCCUGUGACGAAGCGUGAGUGACGGUAAUGGGUAAAGAAGCACCGGCUGACUACGUG
rnacentral:rRNA from 1 species